rnacentral:rRNA from 1 species
GAACUAAAGAGUUUGAUCCUGGCUCAGAUUGAACGCUGGCGGCAUGCUUUACACAUGCAAGUCGAACGGUAACAGGCCGCAAGGUGCUGACGAGUGGCGAACGGGUGAGUAAUGCAUCGGAACGUGCCCAGUCGUGGGGGAUAACGCAGCGAAAGCUGCGCUAAUACCGCAUACGAUCUAUGGAUGAAAGCGGGGGACCGUAAGGCCUCGCGCGAUUGGAGCGGCCGAUGUCAGAUUAGGUAGUUGGUGGGGUAAAGGCUCACCAAGCCGACGAUCUGUAGCUGGUCUGAGAGGACGACCAGCCACACUGGGACUGAGACACGGCCCAGACUCCUACGGGAGGCAGCAGUGGGGAAUUUUGGACAAUGGGCGCAAGCCUGAUCCAGCAAUGCCGCGUGCAGGAAGAAGGCCUUCGGGUUGUAAACUGCUUUUGUA